rnacentral:rRNA from 1 species
UACAGAGGUCCCAAGCGUUGUUCGGAUUCACUGGGCGUAAAGGGUGCGCAGGUGGGCUGGUAAGUUUGAUGUGAAAGCCCCGGGCUUAACCCGGGAAUGGCAUUGAAUACUUCUGGUCUGGAGGGUUGGAGGGGGGACUGGAAUUCUUGGUGUAGCAGUGAAAUGCGUAGAUAUCAAGAGGAACACCAGUGGCGAAGGCGAGUCCCUGGACAAUACCUGACACUGAGGCACGAAAGCUAGGGGAGCAAACAGG